AUUGAACGCUGGCGGCAUGCUUUACACAUGCAAGUCGAACGGCAGCGCGGGCUUCGGCCUGGCGGCGAGCGGCGAACGGGUGAGUAAUACAUCGGAACGUGCCCAGUAGUGGGGGAUAGCUCGGCGAAAGCCGGAUUAAUACCGCAUACGACCUGAGGGUGAAAGCGGGGGAUCUUCGGACCUCGCGCUAUUGGAGCGGCCGAUGGCAGAUUAGCUAGUUGGUGGGGUAAAGGCCUACCAAGGCGACGAUCUGUAGCUGGUCUGAGAGGACGACCAGCCACACUGGGACUGAGACACGGCCCAGACUCCUACGGGAGGCAGCAGUGGGGAAUUUUGGACAAUGGGCGAAAGCCUGAUCCAGCAAUGCCGCGUGUGUGAUGAAGGCCUCCGGGUUGUAAAGCACUUUUGGCGGGAACGAAAAGGACUGUGCCAAUACCACGGUUCGAUGACGGUACCCGCAGAAUAAGCACCGGCUAACUACGUG
rnacentral:rRNA from 1 species